AGUGAACGCUGGCGGUAGGCCUAACACAUGCAAGUCGAACGGCAGCACAGUAAGAGCUUGCUCUUACGGGUGGCGAGUGGCGGACGGGUGAGGAAUACAUCGGAAUCUACUUUUUCGUGGGUACUAACGUAGGGAAACUUACGCUAAUACCGCAUAUGACCUACGGGUGAAAGAAGGGGAUCUUCGGAACUUGCGCAGUUGAAUGAGCCGAUGUCGGAUUAGCUAGUUGUCGGGGUAAAGGCCCACCAAGGCGACGAUCCGUAACUGGUCUGAGAGGAUACUCAGCCACACUGGAACUGGAACACGUUCCAGACUCCUACGGGAGGCAGCAGUGGGGAAUAUUGGACGAUGGGCGCAAGCCUGAUCCAGCCAUACCGCGUGGGUGAAGAAGGCCUUCGGGUUGUAAAGCCCAUUUGUUGGGAAAGAAAAGCAGCAGGUUAAUACCCCGCUGUUCUGACGGUACCCAAAGAAUAAGCACCGGCUAACUUCGUG
rnacentral:rRNA from 1 species